GUAGGGUCCAAGCGUUAAUCGGAAUUACUGGGCGUAAAGCGUGCGCAGGCGGUUGUGCAAGACCGAUGUGAAAUCCCCGGGCUUAACCUGGGAAUUGCAUUGGUGACUGCACGGCUAGAGUGUGUCAGAGGGGGGUAGAAUUCCACGUGUAGCAGUGAAAUGCGUAGAGAUGUGGAGGAAUACCGAUGGCGAAGGCAGCCCCCUGGGAUAACACUGACGCUCAUGCACGAAAGCGUGGGGAGCAAACAGGAUUAGAUACCCUGGUAGCCCACGCCCCUAAACGAUGUCAACUAGUUGUUGGGGAUUCAUUUCCUUAGUAACGUAGCUAACGCGUGAAGUUGACCGCCUGGGAGUACGGUCGCAAGAUUA
rnacentral:rRNA from 1 species